rnacentral:lncRNA from 1 species
UAGUUGUCUUGAGUGAUUGUCACUAUUGUCUUACGUUCUUAUUGAAUGUAAUUUCCGUAGGCCUUUUGGCCAUGAACGGUUAUGAAAUUUCAAUAAAGAAAGAUUGGAAAAAAAUAUCGUCACAUCCAACGAUAUAUUGAUCAACCACCAAUCUCUACAAUGGGUGAUCAUAUUAGAACCCUGAAUGAAUUAUUCGCUCCUGCAUCCGCUAGUCCACCUACAUGUAUAGUGUUGCCAAUAAAUAACGCAACCCAAUUUGAAAUUCGGGCUGCGACAAUAAAUAUGCUACCCAAAUUUCAU